UACGGAGGGUGCAAGCGUUGUCCGGAUUUAUUGGGUUUAAAGGGUGCGUAGGCGGCCUAUUAAGUCAGGGGUGAAAGACUGCAGCUUAACUGUACGCAGUGCCUUUGAUACUGAUGGGCUUGAGUACAGAUGGAGGCUGGCGGAAUGGGUGGUGUAGCGGUGAAAUGCAUAGAUACCAUCCAGAACACCGAUUGCGAAGGCAGCCGGCUAAACUGUAACUGACGCUGAGGCACGAAAGCGUGGGGGAGCAAACAGG
rnacentral:rRNA from 1 species